UCCGAUAGCGAACAAGUACCGUGAGGGAAAGUUGAAAAGUACUUUGAAGAGAGAGUAAACAGUGCGUGAAACCGCUCAGAGGUAAACGGGUGGAGUUGAACUGCAAGCUCUGAGGAUUCAGCUGGUGAGUUUGGCAUGAGCUUGGUCAUGUGGGUUGUGUGUUCGGGUCUGCUUAGCUGCAGGUCCUCGCCUUUGGUGGGGAUGCGCGUAUCGCUUAUCAAGCGUUGUGCGCCCGUUCUUAUCGGACCUGCUCGCCAGUGCACUUUCUCAGAGUGUUCACCACGACCGGCGUUGUCGUCUGGCUGGUGCGGUUAAACCGGCCUUGUAGGGUCCUUGUGGCCUUGCCUGGUCGGGAUGGCAGGUAGCCCGUUGUGUACUUCGGUGUGCUUCGGGUGUAAUAGCCGACUGCAUCGGUUCUGUGCGAUACGUCGGAGACGGCGGCUUGUUGUGCGUGCGGGCGUGCCUGUUGCGCUGGCGGCUCUGGGUCUGGUUGCCUUGUUGCUUGUAAAUGCAAGCCAGGUGAUGGCCUGGGGUCGUUUGGUGUGCGGUUGCGUUCGUGGCACUUUAAAGGGCCUACAGUCUGUGGUGUAGUGGUAGACUAUCCACCUGACCCGUCUUGAAACACGGACCAAGGAGAGUAACAUGUGCGCGAGUCAUUGGGCGUUACGAAACCCAAAGGCGAAGUGAAAGUAAAGGUUCGGCUUGUCUGGACUGAGGUGAGAUCCUGUCGUUUCUCACGCGUGGUACUACCAAGCAUCGAGCGGCAGGCGCAUCACCGGCCCGUCCCAUGACGUAGAAGUGGCCUCGUGCUUGCUCAUCGUCGGGGCGGAGCAUGAGCGUACAUGUUGAGACCCGAAAGAUGGUGAACUAUGCUUGCGCAGGUUGAAGCCAGAGGAAACUCUGGUGGAGGACCGCAGCGAUUCUGACGUGCAAAUCGAUCGUCAAACGUGAGUAUAGGGGCGAAAGACUAAUCGAACC
rnacentral:rRNA from 1 species